GAUGAACGCGGCGGCGUGCCUAACACAUGCAAGUCGAACGGAGAUUACGGACGGAAGUUUUCGGAUGGAAGACUGUAAUUCUUAGUGGCGGACGGGUGAGUAACGCGUGGGCAACCUGCCCUAUACAGGGGGAUAGCAGCUGGAAACGGCUGGUAAGACCGCAUAAGUCGGUUAAAUCGCAUGAUUUGAUCGGGAAAUGAGCAAUCAGGUAUAGGAUGGGCCCGCGUCCGAUUAGCCAGUUGGCAGGGUAAAAGCCUACCAAAGCGACGAUCGGUAGCCGGACUGAGAGGUCGGACGGCCACAUUGGGACUGAGACACGGCCCAAACUCCUACGGGAGGCAGCAGUGGGGGAUAUUGCACAAUGGAGGAAACUCUGAUGCAGCGACGCCGCGUGAGUGAAGAAGUAUUUCGGUAUGUAAAGCUCUAUCAGCAGGGAAGAUGAUGACGUACCUGACUAAGAAGCCC
rnacentral:rRNA from 1 species